CGGCGAGUGAAGCGGCAACAGCUCAAAUUUGAAAUCUGGCCCUUGGGUCCGAGUUGUAAUUUGUAGAGGAUGCUUUUGGUGCGGUGCCUUCCGAGUUCCCUGGAACGGGACGCCAUAGAGGGUGAGAGCCCCGUCUGGUCGGAUACCAAUCCUCUGUAAAGCUCCUUCGACGAGUCGAGUAGUUUGGGAAUGCUGCUCUAAAUGGGAGGUAUAUGUCUUCUAAAGCUAAAUAUUGGCCAGAGACCGAUAGCGCACAAGUAGAGUGAUCGAAAGAUGAAAAGCACUUUGAAAAGAGGGUUAAACAGUACGUGAAAUUGUUGAAAGGGAAGCGCUUGUGACCAGACUUGGGCCCGGUUAAUCAUCCAUCGUUCUCGGUGGUGCACUUGGCCGGCCCAGGCCAGCAUCAGUUCGGCGUGGGGGAUAAAGGCGGCGGGAAUGUGGCUCCUCCGGGAGUGUUAUAGCCCAUCGUGUAAUACCCUGUGCUGGACUGAGGUUCGCGCAUCUGCAAGGAUGCUGGCGUAAUGGUCAUCAGCGACCCGUCUUGAAACACGGACCAAGGAGUCGUCUUCGUAUGCGAGUGUUCGGGUGUCAAACCCCUACGCGUAAUGAAAGUGAACGCAGGUGAGAGCUUCGGCGCAUCAUCGACCGAUCCUGAUGUUCUCGGAUGGAUUUGAGUAAGAGCAUACGGAGCCGGACCCGAAAGAAGGUGAACUAUGCCUGUAUAGGGUGAAGCCAGAGGAAACUCUGGUGGAGGCUCGCAGCGGUUCUGACGUGCAAAUCGAUCGUCAAAUAU
rnacentral:rRNA from 1 species